rnacentral:tRNA from 1 species
GGUGUGUUGGCUCAGUGGUUAGAGCGUAGGUCCUGUAAACGAAAGGUUGCAGGAUCGAAUCCCGCCUGAGGCU